rnacentral:rRNA from 1 species
GAUGAGCAUGCGUCCCAUUAGCUAGAUGGUAAGGUAACGGCUUACCAUGGCAACGAUGGGUAGGGGUCCUGAGAGGGAGAUCCCCCACACUGGUACUGAGACACGGACCAGACUCCUACGGGAGGCAGCAGUGAGGAAUAUUGGUCAAUGGGCGCAAGCCUGAACCAGCCAUGCCGCGUGCAGGAUGAAGCAUCUAUGGUGUGUAAACUGCUUUUGUACGAGAAGAAACACUCCUUCGUGAAGGAGCUUGACGGUAUCGUAAGAAUAAGGACCGGCUAACUCCGUGCCAGCAGCCGCGGUAAUACGGAGGGUCCAAGCGUUAUCCGGAAUCAUUGGGUUUAAAGGGUCCGUAGGCGGUUUUGUAAGUCAGUGGUGAAAGCCCAUCGCUCAACGGUGGAACGGCCAUUGAUACUGCAAGACUUGAAUUAUUGGGAAGCAACUAGAAUAUGCAGUGUAGCGGUGAAAUGCUUAGAGAUUACAUGGAAUACCAAUUGCGAAGGCAGGUUGCUACCAAUAUAUUGACGCUGAUGGACGAAAGCGUGGGGAGCGAACAGGAUUAGAUACCCUGGUAGUCCACGCCGUAAACGAU